UUUUGACUUCAAUUUCUACUCUAUAGGGUUUGAGGCCUACCUUACCAAAGAAUACUCAUCCAAAGCUUGAUGAGCUGCUGCACAAGUGUUGGCAACAAGAUCGAGCUGCUAGGCCUGACUUCUCAGAAAUAUUGGAGAUACUACAGCUUAUUGCUAAAGAGGUCGAAGAUGAAUACUGCCGUAAGGAUAAGUCAUCAGGUGGAUUUCUUUCUGUUCUCCGACGUGGCCACUGAAACUUCAUUUGAUCAAAAUGUAGGUACGAUCUCAUCAUCGGCAAUUUCCAGCCAUAGAUAGAGAUAGUACCUUAAAACUGUACAAUGUUCAAAUUUCAUGGUUUGUUUUUCCUGGUUCUUAAUUUUUAUGCUUUUAAUUCUUUUCUCUGUGUUUUUGUUAUUUGUUACCACUUCGUAAGGUGGAAUGUGAUGAGUAGGAGGACUCUUGUUUUUUUGUCGUCUAACAAUUCAUUUCAGUAUGUUAGACUUAAAUAUAUUCUUUAAUCUUGCCACUUAGAAAGGAUUUUAUUUUUUU